CCCUUAGAUGUUCUGGGCUGCACGCGUGCUACACUGAUAUUGCCAAUAUGUCAUUCUUAUCCGAAAUGGAUUGGGUAAUCAAGUAAUGAAAUUUCAUGCUUGGAAUCGGUAAUUGCAAUUUUAUCGUGAACGAGGAAUUCCUAGUAAGCACUAGUCAUCAGCUAAUGUUGAUUAUGUCCCUGCCCUUUGUACACACCGCCCGUCGCACCUACCGAUUGGAUGGUCCGGUGAAGCCUCGGGAUUGUGGUUCUUGCCGCUUUAUUGUGGCGUGACCGCGAGAACUUGUCUAAACCUUAUCAUCUAGAGGAAGGUGAAGUCGUAACA
rnacentral:rRNA from 1 species